UACGAAGGGGCUAGCGUUGUUCGGAAUUAUGUCUGGGCGUAAAGCGCACGUAGGCGGACUACUAAGUCAGGGGUGAAAUUCCGGGGCUCAACCCGGAACUGCCUUUGAUACUGGUAGUCUCGAGUCGGAAGAGGUGAGUGGAAUUCCGAGUGUAGAGGUGAAAUUCGUAGAUAUUCGGAGGAACACCAGUGGCGAAGGCGGCUCACUGGUCCGGUACUGACGCUGAGGUGCGAAAGCGUGGGAGCAACAGG
rnacentral:rRNA from 1 species